rnacentral:rRNA from 1 species
GAUUAACGCUGGCGGCGUGCCUAACACAUGCAAGUCGAGCGGCAGCGCGUUUUACACUGAAUUCUGGAAGCUUCUAGUUGAAAGAGAAGAUUUAUUCAAGAAUUUUGUGUAAAAUGUCGGCGAGCGGCGGACGGCUGAGUAACGCGUGGGAACGUACCCCAAAGUGAGGGAUAACGCAUCGAAAGGUGUGCUAAUACCGCAUAUGGUCUUCGGAUUAAAGCCUUCGGGCGCUUUGGGAACGGCCUGCGUAAGAUUAGAUAGUUGGUGGGGUAAUGGCCUACCAAGUCGACGAUCUUUAACUGGUUUGAGAGGAUGAUCAGUCAGACUGGAACUGAGACACGGUCCAGACUCCUACGGGAGGCAGCAGUGAGGAAUCUUCCACAAUGGGCGAAAGCCUGAUGGAGCAACGCCGCGUGCAGGAUGAAGGCCUUCGGGUUGUAAACUGCUUUUAUAAGUGAGGAUUAUGACAGUAACUUAUGAAUAAGGAUCGGCUAACUACGUG